rnacentral:rRNA from 1 species
CGGAGAGGGAGCCUGAGAAACGGCUACCACAUCCAAGGAAGGCAGCAGGCGCGUAAAUUACCCAAUCCUGAUACAGGGAGGUAGUGACAAUAAAUAACAAUGCCGGGCCAUCAUUGGUCUGGCAAUUGGAAUGAGAACAAUUUAAAUCCCUUAUCGAGGAUCAAUUGGAGGGCAAGUCUGGUGCCAGCABCCGCGGUAAUUCCAGCUCCAAUAGCGUAUAUUAAAGUUGUUGCMKCUAAAAAGCUCGYAGUUGGAUUUGUGGYGUACSGYGUGUUCCGGGCACUUGUUGUCUGAGUAACCUGCCCGUU